rnacentral:lncRNA from 1 species
ACCGGCCAGCGGCAACCCUUCUUCCUCCAGCGACGCCCACAGAAGCAGCCCCAUUUCCAACCGAGAACCGACGGCCGGAUCUGCAACCAGCAGAGAACAACAAACCUAGAGAAAGAGAGAACAAUAAGAGAUCAGAUAAAAAAAAAGGGGGAAGAACCGAGACUUUGCUUGUGUUUUUUUCUUCUUUGCAGGUGACGUUACUCCUCACUGCCAGUGCAGAAGGGAAGAGGAGACAGAGUCGAGCCGGAUCCACCAAUUAUUUGGGGUUGUCUGCGGCGGCGGCGCGUGGAACAGACGCGCCACCACGGGUCCUGCAGUUCCAGAAGUGUCCUCUGCAAUUCCUGGAUUUUUUAGGGGCUAUUUUAUAAAUUUGAAAUUGUGUAAUGUAAUUUUUGCUUAGUUGUUUUGAAUUUGUAUUUUGAAGUGUGGAUGUAAAAAAAAAAAGGAAAAAAGGAAAAAAUAUAGUAAAAGUUUAUGUGUGUGUUUGUAUGCUUUUUAUGGAUGUUUUUUUAUGAUAAAAUUGCAAAGAUUAAAGAAGAAUUUAAUAUUUUGAUUUGCUCACGGUCAAGAAUUAUGAACUUACACGUAAUUUGUAUUUCUAAUAUCCGAUGAAAAGAUAAAAUUUUUAAAACUUCUUUAACACAUCGAAGCCACGAAGCAGCUUACCUCAGGCAGGGUACGUUAGGGGUGCUAAUACCUUCCCUAACCACAACCAGUCCCUUACCCGUGAAUCUCUGACAAGACCAGUACAUUCGGGUUUCCUAGUAACCCUCAAUUAAAUACUAGGUGGCGACUCCCAAGAACCAAUCAACCAAUCUAAGCGAAAAAUCGCCAAACGAACGCCGCGCGGGUGACGUGCGACAGAAUGACGACUCGAUUAGGGAAGGUACUGUUUCUGACAAUAUUGGACCAAGCUUUGUGUAUUUGAUGUGUUUAUGUUUUUGCAUUUUUGUCUUAUUUUAUUUUUGUUUUAUCCAUGCAUUUUGUAGAAUUGUCUCAUGCAUCACAUUUCUUUAUUUUUGAAAGCAUACACAAGCUUUUAGGUUAGGUGGGGAACUGUCGAUUUGCCCUAUGACUAUUGGUCAGAGUUCAGAUGCGUGAAACACCCAACUCAUAUCUGAGUGUCUGCUUGGUAAUGGUGGGUAUACGUACCUUAACUAUUUCUUGCAACGCCCCUAUACUGUCUUUACGAAGACCGUCACUGGGCAGGUAUGAGACCCUUUUGAGACCAGGUAGAAAACCUACCCAUGUUCACAUAAUGAAUAGAACAUGUCCUUAGGUUGUAUGUGCUAUCGUUAUUUGCAUCAAGACAAACCCUUCUUGAAGCAUCUUGAACUCAAGACUUGUGGGUGACCCAAUGGCCGUCACUCAUAAAAUUUUCAUUUGUAGAGUUUGGGCAAGAAUCACGAUUCUUGUUUCAUCAUACAAGAGUUACGACCAUAUGUCACCUUUCGAAGGGCGAGUUCAUCAUACAGAUUACAUGCUCAUACAUUUGUCAUGCAUGCACCGAGAUGAAAAGUAGGUUCCCUGACCCAAGGUCUACUACACUGGACUGAGAAAAGUUGAGAAUGGGGGUCCGAUAAGGCUUUUUGUCAAAAGGAAAUUGAGAGCAUCAAAUGUGAAGUAUUUAAACUCGAUCUGCUUGAACAAAUGCUGAACUUUAAGAGUGGAAAGGGAAUGUCUGCACAGCCUCCUGUGAAAGCACUGUCAGUCUAUGUCCCACACAAGGAAAACAUCUUUGACUUCUCUCCUCAGCACUCCACCAGUAGGGGCCAUAAACACUGAAGUGGCACCACCUCUCAUUCAUUUCAGUCAUGAACAGCAACAACGCCUUCAAUCAUCUAUGAAAGAUAAUUUCGUUUCUUGUUCAACUGCACUGUUAGUUGUUCACUGACUUCACGUCUUUCAACAGCACCCAAUAGCUGUCAGCCUUUCACGCCAUGAGCAAAAGCCUUCUUUCUAGCCAUAUCUGCUGUAAACUCCAUUCCUGUCCUGCAGCAUAAGAUGUUAAUUUGAAAAAAACAUGAGUAUACCUUGAACUUCAACAUAGCAGAGCUCUCUCUAUAAAGAUCUGUUUGUGGAUCUGCCAGUGGGGAAUCCAAAAAGGAAUGCAGUAGUUUCAGAUCAUCUAUAAUUUUCUCUUACUAGUGUCAACAUUAAAACGCAGAAGUAGAGAGAAGAGACAUGCCUAGACUGAAAACAUAAAGAAGACUGAGACUUCAACAGAGCAGAACUCCCUCUAUGGGUGCUUGUUUGUUGCACCACUAGUGAGGAAUCAAAGAGGAGACAUAAGAAUUUCAGAUUCAUCAGUUUCUCUUCUAGUAGAGACAAUGCAUGAUUCCACACGUCAGCAGCGGCGGUGUUGUGGGCUACCAAGAUUACCUAGCUGUUGGGAGGUUCUAACAAUCCUCAAACAACCAUAACAGCAUUGGAAGAUUGACAUAAUGCUGUUGUAAGGAUUGCCGAAGGAAUUGAGCAAGCUAUGAGGAUGGGAAAGAUUGAAGGUUAUACCAUGGGUGCCAGAACAAUGAUGAGAGAUGGAUCAGAAGAUGAUCCUGAAGCAUCUGUCAGACUCCAGACUUGUUGCCUCAACUCCGUUAAAUCCCAUACAACCACUGUUUCUAGGUGGUAGAAUCAAGACAAAAGAUGUGAAUAUCAUGGUGGGGUUUUAGGCCAUUCAUUUGAAUAGUUGCAAAAAUUUCAAGAAUUAAGACCGAAUGAUGAUGAGCAAGAAGCGAGUUGAGUUUGUGAAAGAUGAUGUCAUCAACCAUAUUAUCACCGGAACAUCCUCAAAAUGACAAGUGAUCGAAAUUGCUUGGUAAAACACAGAUAUUGCCAGAGUAGCUGAUCCAAGAAUGAUGCUGAAUUGUUAAUCAUUUUGUUGUGGAGUUUUGCCCUUCUGCAUUUUGUUUUGGGAUCACAUCUCAUCCUUUAACGAAACAUGUCUUUUUCUCUGUAUCUUUGUUGUUCUGAAGUCAGAAGAUGUUUAUCAUUUCAUUUUUGACAAAAAUAUUUUGAUCAAACUCCAACAUGCAAAAUUAAAGCUAAUCAAUCUUGAAGAUUAAAAGUAUUUUGAUUGCAGAAAUGACUCGAUAUUUGUUGAAAUGGCAAGAUAAACAAUAUGAGGCGACCAAACAAAUUUUGAAUUCACACAUGAAAAUAAACCACACACCAUGUAGCUAAAUUUUAGCAGUAUGCACCAUGACAUGUAGUGGAUUCAGUAGUUAUGGACUCACGAAUCAUGAUUCUUACAAGUCCAAAUCAUUACAUUGGAUGAGGUCAAAAUUUAUCGGUUCUAACCGACCUUGCUUGAAAUGAGAAAAGGCCAUCUUUGAUAUCCCUUCACUUUCUAAAGAUAUUUAUCCUUUGCAAACCUAUUUUAAGCCUGAUAGAAUAUUUCUUUUCAAAAGGAACCUUGACCAGGAUCACACUCCACACUGGGGGCAAAUAAGAGAUUUUUGUUAGCAAAGAUAAGACAAUGUUAGAAUUAAUGGAUAAGGGGAAGGCUAAGAACAAAAGUCCAACAAUUAAGAGAGGGCUAAAAGAAAGAAACCAUAGACUGGGGGCAUGUGAGAAAACUUUGAGGAAGGCUAUAGAAAAAAAAGAAAGAAAGAAAAAGAGUGGAAAUUGCCAACACUUAAAGGCAAGUCAAAGAUUAAGGAAGGAAAACGCCUAUCAAGUCUAGAAAAAGAAAAGGAGGUUUCAAUUAAGAAAAGACACACCAUACGCCAAAAGUCAAUACCAGAAAAAAAUACCGAGUUACAAACAUUGUCUUUUGGUAUCAAUGAUAAAGCCUCUAAUGAAUAGAUUGGUUAUUCAUUAAGGAAAAAGUUGGAUUUGCUUUAUGACCUAGGUUAAGAGAAUUCUGAUAUUUGAGGUUAACAAGGUUAUAUGUCACUUUCCCUACAAAGACAACAAGAGAAAGAGAAUUGAUGAAUAGUUGAUGUUGAUCCUAAGUCUUUGAAACUCUCAAACACCUUUUUGAGCUUGUGAAUUUUCCUUUCUUUCAUAGCCAUGAACCAUAGUCUGUAUUACGUGUUUUUAAAAGUCAUUUUCGAUCAAGUAAGCAAUCUGAAUCGAUAAAUGACGCUCUCAAAACUGGAAGAGCUUUUCUAUAAGGGUCGUGACUUCAUGAAUUAAGCUACUGGUUAUUAUGCAUGUUGAUAAAAUAAAUGCUAAGAAAAGAAACAACCUUUCUUGAUAAAGCCUGAGCAUCUUGUUUUUGAAAUUCACAAAAAUAUCACCUCAUCAUAGACCAUCAAAAAGAUAUACCCAAAAUUAGAGUUUAAAGUGGACACAAAGAACCAUGGGAAAGGCCAUUUUAAUCUUACAACGAGUCAAUUUCUAUUUUCAAAAUACAAGACAAUCAAAGGACUACAUUGAAUGACGUGUGUUGGGUCUUUGACCAAAAAUCUUGAUUUUUAAAAGAUCUUUUCCCAAAACUGAUAUCUCUCUGAUUUCAUUUCAACAUGACCUUUGAAAUAUGAGAUUUGAUUCCAGAACAAGAAAGAUUGUCGAACAAAGAAGAACAUCGAUUGAGUCUGUGAAAUCCUUGACAUGAAAUGACAUCAACUCUUCUCAACACUUCUUGAAAAGUUGAGACACCUUGGGGCAAUUCAGUGGACCCUGAAAAGGAAAAACAAGUAGUAUUCAGAUCAGCUAGGGGGCAAAGAAAGAUGAUUAAAUGAAGAAUCGGUGAACGGAGGACAACAUGGUUCAAAGAAAGAUAAUCAAUGAACGAACACAUUCAGAUCACACCAGGGGCAAUAUUGUUCAAAGAUAGUUGAGAUCUAGUGAACUAUAGUAGCAAAUGAUAGUGGUGCUGCACUUGAAAGACAUCUUUAUCUGGGUUUAACCUUUUAAGCAUGGUUGUCGACCGAUGUAGACACACGAUUGAAUGUAAAUGAAUGUUGAAAAGAUGCAUACCACCAAGACUGAUUGUGGAACAAUGUUGCACUUGAAGGACAUCCUCAUAUCUUCAUCUUGGGUUACCCUCUGAAACAUGGCUAUAACUCCUGACAGAUGUUAUCGUGUGAGUGCAUUUGAAUGAACAUUGAAAGGAUGCACACCAUCAAGACCGACUAUGAGACCAUCUAUUUUGAAGAUCAAAGGCGCACUUCAUUACAUGAAUAUAGGUGAUAAAUUGAACAUCAUUGAUGAGGCCGAUACAUUUCUUUUCACAAUCUGAUUCGAUAAGAUGAGAGAAAUCCAUGGAAAAGGACAUUGAGCUUACAACGAUGAGCCUUGUACUGCAAGCUAUGAGAUGCAUGUCUGGACGACUAGAUAGUUUCCAAGAAGACUGGUGAUAACAUAUACUUGAAGAGUAUUGUUUCAGCUUGAGGCAAGUUUAUGACUAAUUGAUAAUCUUGAGAGUUGUUGGCACGAUGCGCACAAUCAAUGAGAGAACAAUUCUUAGGAUAAUCCAGAAGAUGAAUGAUUGGUUAAGCUCAUUCAUGAUGAAUCAAGCAACAUCACACUUGAGGGCACACUCAUACUUGAUGAACAACGAGAGCAGUAAUCAUCGCGGACAGCCCUGGAUAGGCACGACAUUUACAGCUGAGUGGAUGACUAGCAUACGGAUAAGCCGGUAAAUCAGAAGGACAAAGAUGACUUUGGAUUGCAAACAAAGGCACCUUAUGAUGAUGGAACAUCAAAGAAGGGGGACCUAUAUUCCAAAUCAUGUAAAAAUACAUGCAUGUCAUCUAACCUCAAAACAUUGCACAAUUGUUUUUGAAUUGUUACAGGAAAAAUCCUUAAUGAGGUCCAGCAAGAUUGUGGAAAAAGAAAGAAGCAUUGCGUUGAUGAUAACAAAGAAUCGGUUUUGAUCAUUGAAUAAAAAAAAGAUGAGAUGAACCCUACCAUUAGGAAAAUCUCAAAGAAAUGAAAAGAUCAACCUUGCAAUCGGGAAGCCCCGAGUUUUCAAACUCUGCAAUCAGGAAUUAUCAAGACGCACCAAGUUUUCCAGCCCUUUUCCUGUCAUCCCUUCAGGACUUCGCCAGGUAAGUCCUAUUCUUUUCACACUUGUCACUUCACAUUCUUUUCACUUGGGUAGGUCACCCAUUACAAUGAGACCAACAUUUUUCUGGGUAGGUCACCCAUUACAACGAGACCAAUUCUCCAUGUUUUUUUUUAUCUGGGUAGGUCACCCAUUACAAUGAGACCAAUCUUCCACCUAGGUAGGUCACUCAUUACAAUGAGACCAUUCUUCCCUUUUUUCCACUUGGGUAGGUCACCCAUUACAAUGAGACCACACUCCACAUUCUUUUCAUCUGGGUAGGUCACCCAUUACAAUGAGACCGCACUUCAUAUUUUUUCUGUCUGGGUAGGUCACCCAUUACAAUGAGACCUCACUUCAUAUUUUUUCUGUCUGGGUAGGUCACCCAUUACAAUGAGACCACUUUUUACACAUUUGUUUUUUGUUUUGGUUAAAGGAGGUCGCCAGAAGGGAUCUUAGGUAGCUUUGGUUAAAGGAAAUCGCUAGAUGGGAUUUCAGAUUGACCGACUUAUAUAUUUUCUUUGGUUUUUAAAGGAGGUCGCCAGAAGGGAUCUCAGGUAGCUUCAGUUCAAGGGAAUCACUAGAUGAGAUUUCAGGUUGACCGAGCUACACAUUUUUUGGUUCUAGUUAAAGAGGUCGCCAGAUGGGAUCUCAGGUGGCUUUGGUUAAAGGGAAUCGCCAGAUAGGAUCUCAGGUGGCUUUGGUUAAAGGGAAUCGCCAGAUGGAAUUUCAGGUUGACCGAACUACACAUUCUUUGGUUCUAUUUAAGGAGGUCGCCGAAAGGGAUCUCAGGUAGCUUUGGUUAAAGAAAAUUGCCAGAUGGGAUUUCAGGUUGACCGAGUUACACACAUUCUUUGGUUUUGGUUAAAAGAGGUCGCCAGAAGGGAUCUCAGGUAGCUUUGGUUAAAGGGAAUCGCCAGAUGGGAUUUCAGGUUGACGGAGCUACACACAUUCUUUGGUUUUGGUCAAAAGAGGUCGCUAGAUGGGAUCUCAGGUGGCUUUGGUUAAAGGGAAUCGCCAGAUGGGAUUUCAGGUUGACCGAGUUACACAUUAUUUAGUUUUGGUUAAGGUGGUCGCCAGAUGGGAUCUCAGGUAGCUUUGGUUAAAGGGAAUCGCCAGACGAGAUUUCAGGUUGACCGAGCUACACACAUUCUUUAGUUUUGGUUAAAAGAGGUCGCUAGAUGGGAUCUCAAGUGGCUUUCGUUAAAGGGAAUCGCCAGAUGGGAUUUCAGGUUGACCAAGCUACACAUUCUUUGGUUCUAGUUAAGGAGGUCGCCAGAUGGGAUCUCAAGUAGCUUUGGUUAAAGGGAAUCGCCAGAUGGGAUUUCAGGUUGACCAAGCUACACAUAUUCUUUGGUUUUGGUUCAAGGAGAUCGCCAAAUGAGAUCUCAGGUUAACGGAAGAAAAAAAAAAGAAGAAAAAGAAAGGAGAAGGAAAAGAGAAAGAAACAGAAGAAAAAAAAGAAGUAAGGUCUUUAGAUGAGUGAAUAUUCAGCAAGUUAGGAAGACAAGAAGACAAGUUUUCUUUACAAAGCUUACUAUGCAAAAAAUUGAAGAGUUUUGCUUCGUAAGCAUUGUAAAGAGGGGGCAUCUGUUGCUACAUAAUUUUUGACCCAUGUUUUGAUACAUUUUCAGAAAAAAUCCAAAAAAUAGUGAAAAACAACGAAAAUCCAAAAAAUACGUUUUUAAAUAUAUUUGCAUCAUUUUUAGCAUUUUUAGUAUCGUCUCAAAAUAAUUUAAAUUUUUAAAGGUUUUUAGAACGCGUUCGACUUUUAACGCGUUAUUUUUAAAAUCACCAAUUUUCCUCAUUCGAGUCGAUGUUGAUAAGAAAAAUCCCAAAAAAAUAAGAAAAAUCAAAUUUACAAAAAAAGAAAGAAGUUGAGGGACCAAGUUUGGAAACCUAGCAAUAUUUUUACCUAUAAAUACUAGUCUCUACAACACACACAAAAGGGGGGGAUUUUGCACAAUUGAAAAAACACAAAAAACCCUAAAAAUUAAAACCCUUUCUUCUCCCUCACUAAAGCCGUCGCCCACUCCCCAUCUCUACCAAAAAAGAAGUCGCCGGCCCCCCAGGCUUUUGAUUUUCCUUCACCACAAUAGCCGACCAAACACCACCCCUCACUUUUCCCUUUCCCCUCGUCAGACCUUCCCUCUCUCAGCCUCUCCAUCGUCCCUCUCCCCUCAGCCACACACCCGACAAAAACCAGAGCUCCCCUUCUCUUCUCACAGCCCCCAUUUCCACAUAUCUUCCCUCUCAGCUGCUCCUUCUCCAGCUUCCAGCUCGCCAAGACCAAAAGGGGGGCAGAGUCGUUCCCCCUCACUCUCUCCUCUUGCUGGCCGUUUCAAUUUCUCCUUCUCCAAUCGCCAACUGAAUCAGGCCUCCCUUCCAUUCAGCCACCAGCAGCUGCACAGACACAACAGAAACUCAGCCGUCGGUCGCCCCCCAAACAACCCACAGACCCACGGUCUUCACAGUCAGCCGUAUCAGCGCCUUCUUCAUCCAGCACCGGCCAGCGGCAACCCUUCUUCCUCCAGCAGCGCCCACAGAAGCAGCUCCAUUUCCAACCGAGAACCGAUGGCCAGAUCUGCAACCAGCAAAGAACAACGAACCUAGAGAAAGAAAGAAACCAUAAGAGAUCAGAUCAAAAAAGGGGGGAAGAAUCGAGACUUUGCUUGUGUUUUUCUUCUUCUUUGCAGGUGACGUUACUCCUCACUGC